rnacentral:rRNA from 1 species
GACGAACCGUGCGAACGUUGUUCGGAAUCACUGGGCUUAAAGGGCGCGUAGGCGGCUCUCUUGGUCGUGGGUGAAAUCCCCCAGCUUAACUGGGGAAGGGCUUACGAUACCGCCUGGCUCGAGGGAGGAAGGGGCGGCCGGAACUGUCGGUGGAGCGGUGAAAUGCGUUGAGAUCGACAGGAACGCCGGUGGCGAAAGCGGGCCGCUGGCCCUCUUCUGACGCUGAUGCGCGAAAGCCAGGGGAGCGAACGGG